rnacentral:lncRNA from 1 species
GGGUGGAAUAAUUUUAAAAAUUUUUAUUCUAUAUUUAUUUCAGAUCUAAAUCUCUAAAUCUAAUUUCAUUAUCUCUAAAUCUAAUUUCAUUAUCUCUAAAUCUAAUUUCAGCAGCAACUCUUGCUCUGUUCCCGACGCAUAGGAUCAUCUCCCCAUUCCUCAGCCUCCUACUCUCCUCAGGAUCCUGCAUAGAAGUACACAAAUGAGUACUAGAACCAGAGUCAAGCACCCAACUGGAUGCAGAAGAAAUCGUA